AAGCUACUCCCUCCGUCCGGAAAUACUUGUCCUAGAAAUGGAUAAAAUGGAUGUAUCUAUAACUAAAACAAGUCUUGACACAUCCAUUUCGGAGACAAAUAUUUUCGGACGGAGGGAGUACUUA
rfam:Triticum aestivum genome assembly, contig: Triticum_aestivum_CS42_TGACv1_scaffold_320326_4BL